rnacentral:rRNA from 1 species
AGAGUUUGAUCCUGGCUCAGAAUCAACGCUGGCGGCGCGCCUAACACAUGCAAGUCGAACGAGAAAGUGGAGCAAUCCAUGAGUAAAGUGGCGUACGGGUGAGUAACACGUGGAUCAUCUGCCCUUUUGUGGGGAAUACCGAUGGGAAACCGUCGACAAUACCGCAUAAGCCCGAGAGGGGAAAGCAGCAAUGCGCAGAAGGAGGAGUCCGCGGUCGAUUAGCUAGUUGGUAGGGUAAUGGCCUACCAAGGCUGUGAUCGAUAGCCGGCCUGAGAGGGCACACGGCCACACUGGCACUGAAACACGGGCCAGACUCCUACGGGAGGCAGCAGUGGGGAAUCUUGCACAAUGGGGGAAACCCUGAUGCAGCGACGCCGCGUGAGCGAUGAAGCCCUUCGGGGUGUAAAGCUCUUUCGGCAGGGAAGAUUAUGACGGUACCUGCAGAAGCAGCUGCGGCUAACUACGUGCCAGCAGCCGCGGUAAUACGUAGGCAGCAAGCGUUGUUCGGAGUUACUGGGCGUAAAGGGUGCGUAGGCGGCUCUGUAAGUAUGGUGUGAAAUCUCCCGGCUUAACUGGGAGGGUGCGCUAUAGACUGCGGGGCUCGAGUGUGGGAGAGGAAAGUGGAAUUCCUGGUGUAGCGGUGAAAUGCGUAGAUAUCAGGAGGAACACCGGUGGUGUAAACGGCUUUCUGGACCAUAACUGACGCUGGGGCACGAAAGCGUGGGUAGCAAACAGGAUUAGAUACCCUGGUAGUCCACGCCCUAAACGAUGCACAUUUGGUGUGGGUCAUUCAGUUGAUCCGUGCCGGAGCUAACGCGUUAAAUGUGCCGCCUGGGGAGUACAGUCGCAAGGCUGAAACUCAAAGGAAUUGACGGGGGCCCGCACAAGCGGUGGAGCAUGUGGUUUAAUUCGACGCAACGCGAAGAACCUUACCUGGGCUCGAAAUGCUGUGGACCAGCUGGUGAAAGCCGGCCUUCCCGCAA